UGUGAUUUUCUUCUUCCUCUUCCUGUGUGUGUUCCCUUUGUUCCUGUUGUGCACAUGUUAUGCUGAGGUGUCCAUGCUGAGUUCUAUAAAGCAAACAAUAUACUGCUCACACAGAAGUUAGUGUGUCUGCCUCCUUUUACAAAGAAGCUGCACAAGCAGUUCAGAUCAGCACUCUGCUAACAGCUUAACCAGCACCACUGAAAUCUGAUCCUAAGAUCUUUGGAGAGACGAGGCAGAAGCCGAGCACAUGGUAAGAUGGCAGCUAGUCUGGAGUGCAGGUCAGGCAUAGCAAAGCUGAAUAACAGCACAUAUCAGCUAUGGAAAUUCAGUGUGAAAAUGCUUUUAUGUAAGGAUCACCUGUGGGAAGUACUCGGCACCGAGAGACCAGAAAAAAAUCCUAAAGACUGGGAUAAAAGAAACAGACAGAAUAGAGCAGUAAUUGACCUGCUGGUGGGAGAUGAUCAACUGAUUCACAUCAGGAUAGAAUCUACAGCACAAGUGUGGAGACACCAGGAUCACACUCAUGACUGAGAACAGUGGGAAAUUGGAACCUGCAAGAGUGAAAAUGCCAGCUUGGAGGAAAACUGCAUUAAGCACCCAAUCAUAACUACCAUUCAAGCAUCUGGUCUUCAGCUUCAUGCAGCAAGCUUUCCAUGCCUGUCCUUAAGAAGUGAUGUGACUCUGGACUAUUAUGGUUUUGAAGCACAGAUACAGCAUUUAGCAAGCUAGUGAUGCUUCUUCUGACUCUGGACAUACCAUAAAGCACAGAUACUGAUCUGGCCUUCAGCUCUAUUCAACAAGCACCAGGGUAGCCACCCAUGGUAGAAACGUGAACGAUGUCACAAGUAUAGACACAAUCUACAGUAUAAUCCACGUCUGUUUGAGGAGCUUGUCCUCCACUCCAUACAGCAUCACUGUGAUAGUCCAUGCAGAGAGAAAACCGUCAUAUCAAUACCAAUAUAUGAUAUUAUAAGUCACCGAGGAGGUCCAUGAACAUCUAAAAGCACAAGGCCGAACAAGAUCUUUUCUCAAGCGCCAUACAGCAAGCACUGUGGUAGCCCCCCAUGGCUGCCCCCAACAAUCUUGUGAUGUGAUUAAGCCUCUUCUGACUCUGGACUGACUAUAAAGUACAGAUACUGGAGUCCAAUCUUGUGUGCGAGAGAGAGAGACUCCCCAGACAGCCUGAAAUGCCCCCACUGUGACUUCUCAGGUUCGCAGAGAGAGGAACAUUGCUAGCACGUGGCUAUUCUCAGUUUAUUGUAUGGUUUCUUUGAUAUCUAUUUUACAUUGUUUUCUUUUCAACUAUUUAAGUUUAUACCCAUCAUUUGUAUUAUUCUUUGUUCUCUUUCUAGAUCUGGCAUUCAGCUCUAUUCAACAAGCACCACGGUAGCCACCCAUGGUAGAAACACACAAUGUCACAAAUAUAGACACAAUCUACAGUAUAAUCCACGUCUGUUUGAGAGUUAGUUGGUUCAUUUCUAAUCCAUGGAAAAGGCAUGAAAGAGCAAGAAUGGGUGGGGGCAAGGACAGUUUCAGGCCCUUUGCUGCCAUUAGAACUAUGCAGCUGACCCUAGGAAUGCCUCUAGUUGCACUUUUCCCCUUGUGUAUGUUAAUUGCAGAGCUUGUGUUUCAUACCUUUGCAUCCUUGGUUCAAUGACCCCAAAUGUUUUGUCGAACUGGAGAGAUCCUUCAAUGUAUGCCUGAAAGAGUCUCCACAGACAGCCUGGAAUUGCCUUACUGUGACUCUAGGUUUGGAUAGUGAGGGUCAUUUAUGCACAAUAUGAAGUAUUCUAAACAUUUUUUGUUAUUUAUAAGGAAUUAUAAACCCUUGAAACAAAUUGAUAUGAGAUUGCUCAGAGUGCUGUUUUAAGCACUCGUGUAAAUUGUAUUUUUUUUUUCUAGUUUUCAAGAUAUUACCAAUGUUUACACUACUAAUAUUAUAAGUUGGAAACGACAAUGCCACUGCUCAUUUUUGUUGCCUAGACACAGUCGGUAAAAAAUUAAGUUGCAGGAAAAAUGAUUCUUUUGAUGUUGCUCUGCUUAAAACUGAUGAGACCUAUCCAAUGACUCGUCUAUUUUCUGAGCAGAGCAUCAUCACAAGACAUUACAUUUUUCACUAACUUAAUUUUCUAACAACUGUGUCCAGUUGGCUAAAAUGAGCAAAUAUGAAAAAAUACUGAAUAUUUCAAAAGUGGUCAUAAUUGCAUUCUAAGCACUAUUACAUUUCCUCUAGAGCAGUACUCCCCAACCAGUGGCUGGUCAAGCAACAUGUUGCUCCUAAGGUGAGCAAGUGCUUCUAUUUAGAUUUCUGGCAAGGAUUGGUUGAAUAGAAACAAGAUGCAUUGCCAAACCUGUAGGUUGACAAUCCGCAUAGAGGCUACCAAAUAGCCAAUCACAGCCCUUAUUUGGCACCACCAGGAACUUUUUAUCAUGGUUGUGUUGCUCCUCAACUCUUUUACAUUGUGGAAGGGGACCCCUGCUCUAGAGGCUUUACUCACAGGCUUCAAUAUUAAUAUUCUAUAUUUCUUUUCUGUGUUUUUGAACUGGAGGCUUUUACUAUGACGCAUUCCUACUGCUCUUGGCCUUUCUUACUCUAGCCUGUGCCUUUCAAAUUAUUGAUGGACUGUUCUGUUUAUAAAGGACAGAUACUGAAAGGAAAACUGUUGAAUAUUUCAGAUGCAGACACUUAUUUGCCUUCAUUGUGGUGUGUUUAUGUCUAGUUUUCUGCACUGUCAUUUUCUGACUGCCCCUUUUUACCAUACUGGAGGAGUCCAAUCUUGUGUGCGAGAGAGAGCCUCCCCAGACAGCCUGAAAUGCCCCCACUGUGACUUCUCAGAGCUUGUCCUCAGCUCCAGCAUCACUGUGAUAGUCCAUGAUCUUGUCUGGCGAUACAGCAAGCACUGUGGUAGCCCCCCAUGGCUGUCCCAAACAAUCUUUUGAUGUGAUUAAGCCUCUUCUGACUCUGGACUGACUAUAAAGAAAAGUUACUGAGCUUGUCCUCCACUCCAUACAGCAUCACUGUGAUAGUCCAUGGCUGCCCCCAACAAUCUUGUGAUGUGAUUAAGCCUCUUCUGACUCUGGACUGACUAUAAAGUACAGAUACUGAUCUGGUCUUCAGCUCCAUGCAGCAAGCUUUCCAUGAUCUGAUCUUCAACUCUUUAUCGUACAAUAGUCACCCAUGGUAAAUAUAAAUGUCCUCUUUUUGCACAGGGUUGCUUGGUUAGUUUGCUUUUGUCACUGUAUUUAUGUAUUUACAAGCUUCUGAUCCUUCAUAUUUCAUUAUGCCAGGCAGGCUUAAACCACCAUUUUUGAUCUGGCCAUUUGUGAAGAUGUUAGAACACUCUGAUGCAGUUGCUUGGUUCAUAGUUUGAAACACUGGACCACACCAAGUGAGAUUAGAAAUCAAGCUGAUUGAGCCUGCAUUAAGAAACCUGACUGAGAAUAGACUGACCACGUUUGCAGCCAUUGUAACGCAUUGUAUUUGCUAAGUUUGUGUAAUUGUUACUUCAGGAAGAAAGCUUCAUCUUUCAGCUUGCGGUGGUAAUUGGCAUCAUCAACAAAACCUCUUUCUGAGAGCUACAAUGUUUAAUAAUGAACAUUUUGGCAGUUGUCCAUAACUACUAAUGGAUAUCUGUCCAGUUUAUCCUUCUUUUUUUAUAUUAUCUUCAUAAAGGUCGCUGCCUCAUCAGGUACUUCAGUGGUAUGUCAAUUAAUUAGUAAUGACUCCUUGAAGCAAACAUUGCUUUUACUCAAUGCAGUUUUUACUGUCUGUGAACCUGAAAACAUCUGAAUUAUUUGUGUCACAUAACAAGUAUGGUGCAGUAACCUUUCUUAGGAAAUAGAGAUGUUCAUUUGACAAUAGUUCCUUACCAUAACUUCUCUUUGGUUGUUUUUAAUCUUCAUCCCAUUGUUUUGGCCACCACAAGGUGGCAGCAUUUCUGCUGUAUCACAGCUUGUACAGCUCUUUACGGUAUGCUUUUUUUACCAUAAUAAGGUCUUGAUAUUGGGUCUGGAUUGAGAAUCAAAAUAGGCCCUGAUAAUUCAGGAACCAACAGGCCCCAGCAAGCCACACAGAGGCCCAAAUAGCCCCCAACCAGCCCACUAAAUACUGACUGCCUAUGGCAUUUUACAUCAGUCCCUCUGGCAUUUGCCACAACCCACAGAUUGCCUGUCCAGGCCUGCUUGAUAUGAAGGGCUUAUUGUUUUCCCUGAAAUAAGUGUGGGGUGGAACAUUAACACCAGACCCCAGCUUGCUUCAGUCAAUCACAAAUCACUGUCCCACUCUAUUUUGCUGGUGACAGUCUGGGCUUUUCACCCUGGCAUCACUGAAGUUGGCUGCAAUUAUUCAGAGAAGGCAUAAAUUCAGGAAGAUACCGUUGAAUUGCAGAGGUGAUUGCUGCAAGUAGCCCAAGUACAACAACAUUGCAGCCAUGCACAGCCUUUUGUUUGACAGUGACCCUUUUUACUUUUGUAUUUAAUGACAGUAUUUCAUUGCUGCAAAUAAAUUCUACCUUUCAUUGUCUAAAUAAAACCUUCUAGUUGAUCCAGAAAAAGGCAAAAAAAAAACACAAGUAAAUCCUCUCCAAGAAUGGCAAUUUGUACCAACAGCUAAUUUCAGUAACCCUUCUCACUUGCUAAAAAGCCAUCCAACCGUACUUGAAGCAAUCUGAUGUAUCACCAGUACAACUGAUUCAGGGAGAGAAUUCCGCAACUUCACAGCUCUCACUGUAAAAAAACCCUUUCUGAAUAUUUAGACAGAACCUACUUUCUUCUAAUAGGAAUGGAUGUCCUUUUGUCAGCAGGGAAGACCUGCUGGUAAAUAAAGCAUUAGAGAGAUUAUUAUAUGAUCCCCUUAUAUAUUUAUACAUAGUUAUCAUAUCUCCCCAUAAACUCCCACUUUAGUGUCAGCACAACUGGGCCCUUCACCUUUCCUUGAUGUCGGCCCUGUGUGUCAGGUGAUGGUUACCUUGAAAUACUUCCAUACCAGUUUCCAGGCAACAAUCCCUGACAAAAACUGGCACAAAUGCAUAUCAGAAGUCAGAGGUGGCUCUAGGUGCUUUGCUACCAUAUUGUUGCACACCAGUACUCUAUUAACUCAUCUCUAAUUUGUUUAGAAACAGUAUUAAAAGAUAUGCUUUCCCCGAUAUGCCAUUAACGAGCAUGGCUGUAUCGGGGGGUAAUCUGAUUGUUCAGCCGUAUGGCCGAACGAUUCGAUUACAAUGUGCAAUGGGCUCCGGCGGGAUCGGUCGAGUCAAAAUCAAACCUGACCAAAUGACCGAUCUCCGCCGGAUGAAAGCUGUCGGCACUCUCCACACACGAUCCGAAAAUCAUAUGAAUCCUCGAUUCAUACGAUUGGAUCUGUGUGUCUAUGGCCACCUUAAGUCUCUCAUUGUUAAUCCAACUUAACCACACUCAUGGCUUUAUAGGAAUAUGGUUGAUCAUUAUAUUUGAUGUGUUCUGACCAUUUUUAGAUGUUGGGAAUUGCUGCAAAGUUUUUGACACUCCCUGCAUAUAGUAUUCCUAGCGGUAUUAAAAUGUUAACCGCUUUUCAUGUAGCUUUAAAAUCCUGUCUUCUUUUUAAGGUAGGGCUGCUUCUAAACUGACUGUGGUUAUGAAAUUAGCUUCUCUUUGAGAAUAAUCUCUCCCCUGCAAAUUAUACAAAGACUGCUAUUGUUCCUCGUUGCCAGUAACAUUGUGUUUGCCAGAAAGGAGAAGUUGCAACCCAUUUUGAAAGUCCUAAAAUUACCUUUGCACCACAGAAAUGCACUGUGUUUCUUUUACUCUUCUGAGCUUGAUUGAUAAUGGGGCAUCAUCUGAGCAGAGAAUACUGUGUUGACAAUAUAUGUAUCAAAAAUGUGUUCCUAUUAAUAAAGCUGUUUUUAAAGCAAAA